AGAGUUUGAUCCUGGCUCAGAACGAACGCUGGCGGCAGGCUUAACACAUGCAAGUCGAGCGCCCCGCAAGGGGAGCGGCAGACGGGUGAGUAACGCGUGGGAAUCUACCGAGCCCUGCGGAAUAGCUCCGGGAAACUGGAAUUAAUACCGCAUACGCCCUACGGGGGAAAGAUUUAUCGGGGUUUGAUGAGCCCGCGUUGGAUUAGCUAGUUGGUGGGGUAAAGGCCUACCAAGGCGACGAUCCAUAGCUGGUCUGAGAGGAUGAUCAGCCACAUUGGGACUGAGACACGGCCCAAACUCCUACGGGAGGCAGCAGUGGGGAAUAUUGGACAAUGGGCGCAAGCCUGAUCCAGCCAUGCCGCGUGAGUGAUGAAGGCCCUAGGGUUGUAAAGCUCUUUCAACGGUGAAGAUAAUGACGG
rnacentral:rRNA from 1 species